rnacentral:tRNA from 1 species
GCCGAGGUAGCUCAGCAGGUUAGAGCAGCGGAAUCAUAAUCCGCGUGUCGGGGGUUCGAAUCCCUCCCUCGGCACUA